rnacentral:rRNA from 1 species
CAGCACCUCAAGUGGUCAGGAUGAUUAUUGGGCCUAAAGCAUCCGUAGCCGGCGCUGUAAGUUUUCGGUUAAAUCUGUACGCUCAACGUACAGGCUGCCGGGAAUACUGCAGAGCUAGGGAGUGGGAGAGGUAGACGGUACUCGGUAGGAAGGGGUAAAAUCCUUUGAUCUAUUGAUGACCACCCGUGGCGAAGGCGGUCUACCAGAACACGUCCGACGGUGAGGGAUGAAAGCUGGGGGAGCAAACCGGAUUAGAUACCCGAGUAGUCC